GCAGCCGCGGUAAUUCCAGCUCCAAUAGCGUAUAUUAAAGUUGUUGUGGUUAAAAAGCUCGUAGUUGGAUCUCAACCGCCUUGAAGCGGUUAACUUUGUAGUUUUACUGCUUUAUAGGCUGUGCUUUUGCUGGAGGUUUAGGGGUGCUCUUGAUCGAGUGUCUCUGGAUGCCAGCAGGUUUACUUUGAAAAAAUUAGAGUGCUCAAAGCAGGCUAAAAUGCCUGAAUAUUCGUGCAUGGAAUAAUAGAAUAGGAUGUCGAUCCUAUUUUGUUGGUUUUCGGGACUCGACAUAAUGAUAAAUAGGGACAGUCGGGGGCAUUUGUAUUCAAACGACAGAGGUGAAAUUCUUGGACCGUUUGAAGACAAACUACUGCGAAAGCAUUUGCCAAGAAUGUUUUCAUUAAUCAAGAACGAAAGUUAGAGGUUCGAAGGCGAUUAGAUACCGCCCUAGUUCUAACCAUAAACGAUGCCAGCUAGCGAUCUGCCUGCGUUUUUACUGUAGACUGGGCAGGAAGCUUCCGGGAAACCAAAGCAUUUGGGUUCCAGGGGAAGUAUGGUUGCAAAGCUGAAACUUAAAGGAAUUGACGGAAGGGCACCACCAGGAGUGGAGCCUGUGGCUUAAUUUGACUCAACACGGGAAAUCUCACCAGGCCCGGACACUGGAAGGAUUGACAGAUUGAUAGCUCUUUCUUGAUUCGGUGGGUGGUGGUGCAUGGCCGUUCUUAGUUGGUGGAGUGAUUUGUCUGGUUAAUUCCGAUAACGAACGAGACUCUGUCCUGCUAAAUAGUUUCUACUUCUCUUUUGAGUAGAAAUUUCUUCUUAGAGGGACUGGUGACUCUUAGUCACACGAGAUUGAGCAAUAACAGGUCUGUGAUGCCCAAGGG
rnacentral:rRNA from 1 species